rnacentral:lncRNA from 1 species
UCCUUUCAUGUUUUAUUUCCAUCGCUUUUGUUUUUGUUGUCGUCGUAUUGUUUUUAUUUGUUUUCGUUGUUUACUUGUGUGUACAGAGUGAUGAGAAAUGGUUGGACGAAUCCGGGAUCAAUGGUAGUGGAUGAAAGACACCCCUCAUACUUAUUAUGAUAAGGCACCCCGGAAGUUGAUGCAACCAUGAGAAAGUAAAGUCG